rnacentral:misc_RNA from 1 species
UGAGAUUCCUCAGGUGAGAAUUAUG